rnacentral:rRNA from 1 species
GAUGAACGCUGGCGGCGUGCCUAAUACAUGCAAGUCGAGCGAACAGACGAGGAGCUUGCUCCUCUGACGUUAGCGGCGGACGGGUGAGUAACACGUGGAUAACCUACCUAUAAGACUGGGAUAACUUCGGGAAACCGGAGCUAAUACCGGAUAAUAUAUUGAACCGCAUGGUUCAAUAGUGAAAGACGGUUUUGCUGUCACUUAUAGAUGGAUCCGCGCCGCAUUAGCUAGUUGGUAAGGUAACGGCUUACAAAGGCCACGAUGCGUAGCCGACCUGAGAGGGUGAUCCGCCACACUGGAACUGAGACACGGUCCAGACUCCUACGGGAGGCAGCAGUAGGGAAUCUUCCGCAAUGGGCGAAAGCUUGACGGAGCAACGCCGCGUGAGUGAUGAAGGUCUUCGGAUCGUAAAACUCUGUUAUUAGGGAAGAACAAAUGUGUAAGUAACUAUGCACGUCUUGACGGUACCUAAUCAGAAAGCCACGGCUAACUACGUG